GCUUACGGCCGUACCACCCUUUCUGUGCCUGAUCUCAUCUGAUCUCGGAAGCUAAGUAGGGUCGGUCCUGAUUGGUACUUGGAUGGGAGGCUGCCUGGGAAUACCAGGUGAUGUAAUCU
rnacentral:rRNA from 1 species